rnacentral:misc_RNA from 1 species
UUUCCGUAGGUGAACCUGCGGAAGGAUCACUAAAGAGAACUUGCCCUUCGGGGUAGAUCUCCCACCCUUUGUUUAUCACACUUUGUUGCUUUGGCGGGCCUGCCCUCGCGGCUGCCGGCGUAAGCUGGCUCGCGCCCGCCAGAGACCCCCAAACUCUGAAUAUUGUCGUCUGAGUAAUAUAUAAUAAGUUAAAACUUUCAACAACGGAUCUCUUGGUUCUGGCAUCGAUGAAGAACGCAGC